AUCACUUCUCGGCCUUCUGGCUAAGAUCAAGUGUAGUAUCUGUUCUUAUCAGUUUAAUACCUGAUACGUCCUCUAUCUGAGGACAUUAUAUUAAAUGUAUUUUUGGGAUAGAAAGAUGGUAUAGGAGCUUGCUCCGUCUACUCCACGCAUUGUCCCGGUAUUGCAGUGCCUCCUAGAACGGUGCACACACA